UGGCGGACGGGUGAGUAACGCGUGGGUAACCUGCCUUGUACUGGGGGACAACAGUUAGAAAUGACUGCUAAUACCGCAUAAGCGCACAGGACCGCAUGGUGUAGUGUGAAAAACUCCGGAGGUAUGAGAUGGACCCGCGUCUGAUUAGGUAGUUGGUGGGGUAAAGGCCUACCAAGCCGACGAUCAGUAGCCGACCUGAGAGGGUGACCGGCCACAUUGGGACUGAGACACGGCCCAAACUCCUACGGGAGGCAGCAUG
rnacentral:rRNA from 1 species